AGUGUUUAUAUAACACGAUGAGUGAGGAUGGUUGUUAUAAGAAAAGCCUUCCUUGAGUAGUGGGAACCGAAAAAUAUCUAAAUGUUCAGCUUAUAUGUUUUUAAAAUAAGCCAUGACUGAAGAAGAAAACGAAGAAAGAUUUUCUUUGGAACAGCUGAAAUCUGCUCUUGCUCCUCUCGCUUCAUUGGAAGAUUUGGCAUCAGAUGAACUUGAAAGUCCUUUAAGUUCUAAGACAAAAGAGAACUAUUCUGACUUUGACAGUGAGGAUAACUUAAAUCAGUUGCCAGAGUGCAUAGAUAUUUGCAAAACUAUUACAGCCAGACCAGACUUGAGGUCUGUUCCAUGUAUUCCUUCUUCAUCUGGCCUUGUUACUCCUGAGUUUGACAGACAUUUUGAAAGUGAUGUUGACUCUCAGGGUACAUUAACUCCUUGUGAGGAAGCCAAAAGCCAAACUCCCAGCAGUAUCAGAACAGGAUCAUUUUCCUCAUUACCAAAAACUGAAAAAUUGGAGCAAGUUGGAGACAGAAGGAAAAAUUUAUCAGCUGAUUCAAUACUCUCAGGUUAUGAUGAUAAGAAUUCUUCAGAAAAAAUCUAUAAAAGCUCCUGGACUGAUGUAUUUCGAAGUCGUAUCCGAAGUCAGAGUCAUUCGCCUCAGGGUUCACCUAAAGCUCACUGUAGUUUACUCUCUAGUAGUACAGACGAAAAGAAUUCAAAAAGGAAAGAAAAAGGAGUUUUUUUUUCAAUAUUUAGGUUUAGAAGUAGAAAGCCUUCAAGAAGCAAAAAAUCUUCUCCAAUUUUUCCACAUUCCCAGUCACCACCACCUGUAGUGUGUGUAGGAAAUAUGGACACACAGAUUUCUAUUCCAAAAGCAGUUUAUUUAAAAAGUGAGCCAGAAGAGAUUUCCACUGCAGAAACUGUAUUUAUAAGCCAAGACAUUGAAAAAUCCAAAAAUGAAAAGAAAAAUAUUAACCUCAAUGAAUUCAAAACAGAUGUGUGCAAUGGUUUUGAGUCUGAACUGAAAGAGCAAGAAAUUGAAUCCAAAGAAAAAACAGAGAAUUUAGGGAAAGAGCUUGCUUUAGAAUACAAGUUUGUUAACACUCUUAUGCCAACAAAUGUUGAACCACGAACUAACAGUAUACAGGGACUAGAAAAUAUAGACUUAUUGACUGAACUAGAACAACAAGUAUCUAUUACUGAAGUCCAUAUUUCUUCUGAAUCUGAAAUAGACUAUGAUAAUGUAAACAAGCAUCAUUUAAAAAGAAGAGAGAGUGAAGAAGAUUAUGAAGCUGAAACACUUCUUACACAAGAGUCUUUGGAUGAUGAUGAUCUAACUUCAUCUGACUUUCAGAUUCCUGUUUCUCUUGUAAAAAGUGAACUUUCUAAGUUACCUACUAGACAGCAACGUCUUGAAGUAAGCACCAUUCCAGUUGAAAGACCCAGAAGUACAACCCCAUUAAGUAUUGCUCCCUUAGAAGCAUUUAUUCAGUCAGCUUCACCUGAUGUCCAUGUUGAAAAAAUUCAUCUUUCUCUUCCCGGUGAAGAAUUUAGUUUUAAAUUGAAAAGUACUAAAAAUGUAACACAUACAAAUUGGGUAGAUUUUUGUGAAAAAGGACUACAGAGCCCAAGAACUCUAAAAAAAUUACAUAAGGAUAGUAAGUUAAAAGGUAAAGGUGAAAAUAUCUCUACACAAAAGUAUUUAUAUAAUGUCAUUUCUCAGAAACCUGAUAGUUUCAGUAUUCAGAAAGCUGACUGUGAACUGACUAUGAGAACAGUAUUGUAUGAUGCAGAAAAAAACACAUCAGCUUCUGAGGAUGCAUGGAUGGCUUCUGAGCCUCAAAUGGGUAAUAAUAUUCAGAGAAAAUUCAGUGAUGCUGCAUUUUCUGAUGUGGAAAAUCUUGAAAACAUUGAAAGUGCAUCAUCAGAAUCAAAAACAAUUAGGUGUGAUGAUUCUUCAAUUCAAUUUUACGCAGGUGAGAAUGAUACAACCUCAAGAUGUGAGAAAAAUAUGCAAUUAAAAACCAGCUUAUUCUGUCCAUGUGAUUGCUCUUCUUGUGGCUGUGAUCACAACCACAUCUUCGGUUAUUUGAGACAUAGUCCAUCAUCAACUACAGAAACUGAAGCUGCUACAAGUGGUUAUACAUCUGAUAGUCUUGUUUCAGUGAAGACAUGUCCUUGUGAAUGUCAUUUUGGAGAUGAGAGACUAUUUUCAUCUGAAAGAAGUUUUUUAAGUGAGGUUAAUAACAUAGGACUCUCUAGUAGUGAAGUUCAAGAACAUCUAGCUAUCAAAGAAGGAAGUGAGUUUCAGUUUUGAAAACUGAUAAACAUUAAUUGUUGAGAACCACUGGUAUGCAACUAGUUUCUGCUGUAGAUUUUCGUGGUAUUACCUACACCACUACUUUAACAGCAUUUUACACUCAACUUUGAAGGUACUGUAAAGAAACAUAACUACUACUAACAUAGUGCUGCUGACUUUCUUUCACAUGGAUUUCUAAAUCAAGAUAAAUGACCAAAUAGUGAAGUGAACAUGUUCAUUCAAAGGACAAGUUGCUAAAUUGUUUGUCUCAAAAAAUACCAGAUGUAGUCUCUAGAAAAGCUUUCAAGCAAAUUUAGUAUGUACUAAGUGGUGUUCAAAAAGGUAGUACUAUAGAAUUAUCAAAUCAAAGAUAAAUAGAAACCAACCAAAGAGAUGACAAUAGCUAUGGAUUAUUUACCUUUGCUUCAUCUACUUCCAUAAUGUCCAAACAAUCAGCCUUCAGCAUUACAGAAGUUGAUAAUGGUUGUGUACUCCAAAAGAAAAGAUCAACAUCAGAGAUAAACUGUAAACUAUAGUUUUUCACGGCAUGAUAGGAAACAUCCUACAACUCUUGCAGAAUCUGUGGUAGGUACAUUCAUUAUCCACACAGUUUCCUCUAGAUUAUUUUGUCCUCUGUUCAGUGAUGAUGUGUCUAAAACUUUUAGAGGAGUUCCCAUCCUAACCUCAUAGUGAUUCUAGUGAAGAGGAAGACUACUGAAGAAAAGUUCUUUGGCAAUUUUGGGAAAAUAUUGUUGUGCAGAUAUGAAAUGAAAAAGAAGACACUAAUCCUUUUCAAGAACUCUGCUCUUGGUCCUUUUCAGGAGUUCUCAGUGUAGAGGUACGUGUAGGAUUGAAUUCUGAAUGGAAGAAGUGGUUGGAUUUUGUGCCAUUAUUGCAGUUUUUCAACAGUCAGACAAUUAGUAGAUCUGCUGUGAUCCUGUCUGGCUUCAAAGACCACGAAGAAUUCAUGGACACCAUAAACUCUUGAAAAAAAAAAACGGUAUUUCUUUUUUUGUCUUAUUUGAGGAGAUGUUAAAACAAAGACUGUGACGUUAAUGUGUAAAAGAUUUGUGGUUAAGAUAUUAAUAUAGUUUGAUGCAUGUGAUUUAUAUUCUUGUUUUAUUUUGCAUUGUGUAAUUUAUCACAGCUCUUGGUUUCAAACUCUCAGAUCUCGGUCUUGGACACUGAGGUCUUGACUACAACACUGGUAUAUUGUUACGCUCUGUUGGUUAUAGCUCUAGUAUUUAGCCUUUAAUGACAUUACUGUUACUGUGAGUUGAAUUCUAAGUACAAUUACAGAAUUAUCACUAAUGUUAAGAGGUAGCUUAGUUUUAAUACAUGUUCAAGAUAUUAAGUCUAAGAGAGAGACUAUUGGUAGGAUGAGUCCCAGUGUUAAACUACCUUGAGCCUAGUUGUGUGUGACAUUAAGUGGGGUAAAUAUAUGGAAUAUCAGAUCAAUGGCUAACACAGUGUAGAUCUUUAUAUUGUAUCAGAUAGUGACAUACAUGGUGGGUUGACAGAUCAUCAAGCAAAAAGCACACUUCACUACACUCCUAGGAUGGAAGUGAUGCAGAGAUGUAUGGUUACCAUUCAUAAGUAGGGCUGAUCCUACACCAGGGAAGACUCUCAUUGUUGGGCUGAUAUCUUGAUAUCAUAUUGGCCAGUGUGCACCCAUCUCAAAAAUGGCAGCCCUAUUUUAAUAGGUUGUUGACUUGCCUUGGUAAGUACAAUAAGGUUAGAACAGGAGUUACUGGACAGUUAGUGGUUACCGUAUUGCCUAGAGAUAAUGAUACAUUAAAAAUUUGCUCCUACACAGAUGACCACAGAGCAAUGGAGCUUGUGCACACAGCAUGGGGCCUCAAUUAUCCAUCAUGAGGAGGAGAAGAACAGGGUAAUUGAGAUUUAGACCUGAGCCAGUAAAUAACAUAUGAAUACAAAGCACAUCAGACUCUGCUUGAAAACACUUUUAUGUAUUUAGUGGUAGGAGACUUCAAUGCCAGACAUCCCAUCUAUGAUCCAGGUUAAAAUUCUAAUGGAAAAGGUUUACCUUCCACUAUACACACCAACCUUAUAUUGCUAAACUUGGGUGAACCAGCAAGAAUUGCAAAGUGCCAAGUGACAGAGACUUAUGUGUAGACCUUUUGUUUUCUAACUCAACUUUCAGUGCCAUCUCUACCUGGCAUAGGGCACAUAAUGUCUGCAGUGAUAAUCUCAUAUGUGAGUUGUGCAUGAAGACUGGAAGACAAAGUAGUAUAAAGCAAUCUAAAAACCCAUACAAAGACGUCAACUUACUGGCAGUACUUUGUACUCUCAAACACCUUUCCACCAUCAAGCAAAGCCAAAGCAACAACUUUUGCAAAACGAAUGAGAUUUUAGUGAAACAUUGAUACUGAUAAAGCCUUGAAAGUGCACUUUCAAGCCUAGGCUGAGUUAAUGCCUGUAACUUGGCAUAGGAUACAAGGAUUGCACUGAAUAUAGUCUCUGCUCUCUACGUGUGAUCAGCUUCUAAACCAUUAGAUGUGAAAUGGAAUGAACUAUUCAGCAAGGUCCAUCUCACAAACACUUCAUUCUGGAAUUUAUACAAGCUUAUGGCUGGCAAAAGAACCAAACGCAUGGUGAUGUCAGCCAUUUUUCAAUGAUGAUGGUACUCCAUUCUGUAGAAAUGAAGACCAAGGCAUAGCCUUCAUGCACAGACACAUCAUCCAAUGUAACCAUGGUGUCAUGCAGGAGAGGCUCAAGCUUCAGAAACACUACUUACCUCUACAUAAAGCCAAUAGCUAUUGUCUUGUGCUACUGCUAAAACUAUUUUUGCACAAAUGCCAUGCCUUGAACAAAACUCUCAUCUUUUAUGUAUUAUUUGACAGAUAGUUUAGGCAGAAUAUUCAUAAUGAGUUGACUGUGUAAUGGGUGGCAACUGACUAUAAGAGUCAUACUUGUAGAAAUAUAUUAGUAACUAUACAAUCAGCUCAAAUGUAGAGGAUGACGUUUCAAAAGUCUUCUGCCUUUCGUAUUCAGGUUAAUUUCUGCUAGCUACAGCAGGCCUUAUAAUAGUAUCCAGUUGAAUUGAGAUGGACAUGCUGUGAUUGGUUGUUUGUUCCUGGUGGUGACUGGUUGAGUGACUGAGCAUAGACUCAACCAAUCAUAGCCAUAAGUUGCUGAUUUCUGGGCCUUGUUUAACCCUUUUGAGUCAGAUAUGACCUAGUUUUGGGGUGCCAGAUUCAAGAAUGUGGACAAGAUUCGAGGUUACAUUAUUGAGACCUCAGAGCACAGAGUGAAGCAGCUAAAUCAAUUACAUCAUCAUUCCGAAACUUAAGAAUCAAAGUCAUAGUACAGAAAACUGAGAAAGUGGAAACUACUGCAAAACAUCAUUACUCCCAAAAGUAGACAUAGAAUUUAUAUUUUCUUAUACGUGUUUGAGGGUAUCAGCUUUCAACCAUUUUUCUACACACUGCUGUGAAGUAGAUGUAGAAUGUAGCCAACCUGUCAUCUUUGUCUCCCACACAACUAUUCAGUGUCUAGAGAAGUUAGAUACUUUUCUGAACAUAGUAUCAAGUAGAGAUGUUUCUCUUAUCUCAUGGAGUAGAACUAACUGGUGAAAUCAUUAAAACUUCAAGCAACGUUUGUUGGUGAACACUUAAUAAAUUGAAGUUAGUAAUGAAAAGUUAAAAUGACCUAAUCGCAUAGAAUGGUGAGACAUCAAUGAUAUUAAAAAGAGGUUUAAAAAAGCAUAUAAGCCACAAAUGGUUUAUAUCUUUAUGACAAUAAGGAGUGUUUUCUUGUUUUUGCAUAAGUAACAUCAUAUACUAAAUCUUUCAUAAUCUUUCUGAAAUUUGCCAGGAUUGUGCAGAGGAAUUAUGAGUUUCCAGAACAUUCAGUUAUUGUUUAAAACACAAAAAAUGACUCAAGAUAGUUUUUAGGUGUCUGUAAAGUGAAAUAUGCGAGUACAUGCCUUUUUUUUCUCUAAGAGAUUAAUAACUUAAAUAAAUGUUUGUGUGCUUCUUAUAUGUAAUCUUGCUGAAUUAUAAACAAGUUUAUAGCAAAAAGUUUCUCCUCAUAAUAUUUUUGUUCUAUGUUUCAUCAAAUGGAUGGUGACAUGAAGACAAACUUUAUUGUCAUCACUGUGACUGUUGAAUACUGUAAUAAAGUGUUACUCUGUUUUGUUGAAGUAACUCGUAUCUGUAAUGUGAGACCUAAAAUAAUCUUUUUGGUACUUCAGUGGUUUUUUCAUGCAUUCUAAUUCGUGGAAUUAUAAAAUUAAAUUAUUUCAGAUAUUAUUUAUGUAAGAUUUAUGUCUUGUAGACUAUGUAAUCACAAUUUCUGUAAUCUAAGUAAUUAUUUCAGAAAACUAGUGUUAUAAAUUAAUUCUGUAAGAAAAUUUUUAUGUUGUUCUAAAAUUUAAGUUUAAUAACUUUAUAUAUAUGAUCUAAAUAACUUUGUAUUUCAAAAAGUUAAUAUUAAAAACGUAUUGUGUUGUAAAACUUAGUAAUAUUAUGUUUAUCUGUGAGGUACAAGCAAUAAAUAUUCAAGAAAGUUAGUAUUAAAAGUUUACUCUGUUGAGAAAGUCAGAAAACUUUGUCAUAUUUAUAUGUGUAAUCUAAGUAGAAAACAAUAUGUACAAAAUGUUAAGUGUCAUGGUAUAGAGGUUUUUUUUAUGGUUAAUGCUGCUUAAAAAUUGUAGGAGGUAGCUGAACUUUGAUGGAUUGUUUUAUUGUACAUUACUUAAUUAAAACAUUUUGUUUUAUGUACCUAUAUAUUCUAAGAUUUUGAACUUGUUUAAAAUUAUAACCUUGUUAUUUACAUGAUUAACUAAAUGCAAUAAAAAUAUUUCUCUAAAUUGAGUCACAUGUCUAGUCUAGAUCUGAUGAAAGAAGAUCUAAAGUGACGUGUUUGAUGUCAACCACUUAACACCACAAUGAAAUAAGUCACACUGUAUAUAAAAUGUAUGAUGUAGCAAACAUUGGUUGCAUGCUUAUUUCUUCAGUUGUAUUUUCUGCCAUUAUCUAUAUUUAAGAAACAUAUCACAAAAGGCUGUAAGAAUUAUCCUAGAUUACUUUUAUGUAUUUAAUGGUACUUUGAGUACUUCUCAGGAUUUCAGUUUGUUUUACUGUUAUUGUUUGUUGUAUUUUUUGGUAUUAUUUUAUAUAUUGAGUAAGGGCUCACAGAAACAUUGCAUAUUCUUUAGUAAAAUGUUUUCGUUCAAUGUUUUUCUCUAGAAAUUCAUAAGGUACUUACACCUAGUUUAAACUGACAAUAUUUUACACAGAGAGGUUAAGCAUUCAGUAUUCUGUUAUUGUAUACGUUUGUAUAUUAAAUUGUUUUUUUUUAUACAAAAA